AAUGGCUGUGCCACCUUCAGCCGUCUGAAGCUAAACAGGUUUGGGCCUGGCCAGAACUUGGACAGGAGACCAACUGGGAAAGCUGGUUUGCUACUG
rnacentral:rRNA from 1 species